rnacentral:rRNA from 1 species
GAUGAACGCUGGCGGUGUGCCUAAUACAUGCAAGUCGAACGAGGUGCUUUUGUAGCAAUACGAGAGUAUCCUAGUGGCGAACGGGUGAGUAACGCGUUGGUGACCUACCCCAAAGUGUGGGAUAACAGUCCGAAAGGAUUGCUAAUACCGCAUGUGGUCAUCGGGUUUAGAAACCGAUGUCUAAAGGAGUAAUUCGCUUUGGGAGGGACCUGCGUCCCAUCAGCUAGUUGGUGAGGUAACGGCUCACCAAGGCGACGACGGGUAGGGGACCUGAGAGGGUGGCCCCCCACAAUGGAACUGAAACACGGUCCAUACACCUACGGGUGGCAG